rnacentral:rRNA from 1 species
UGGGGAAUCUUGGACAAUGGGGGCGAACCCUGAUCCAGCCAUGCCGCGUGAGUGAUGAAGGCCUUAGGGUCGUAAAGCUCUUUCGCCUGUGAAGAUAAUGACGGUAGCAGGUAAAGAAACCCCGGCUAACUCCGUGCCAGCAGCCGCGGUAAUACGGAGGGGGUUAGCGUUGUUCGGAAUUACUGGGCGUAAAGCGCACGUAGGCGGACCAGAAAGUUGGGGGUGAAAUCCCGGGGGCUCAACCCCGGAACUGCCUCCAAAACUAUUGGUCUAGAGUUCGAGAGAGGUGAGUGGAAUUCCAAGUGUAGAGGUGAAAUUCGUAGAUAUUUGGAGGAACACCAGUGGCGAAGGCGGCUCACUGGCUCGAUACUGACGCUGAGGUGCGAAAGUGUGGGGAGCAAACAGGAUUAGAUACCCUGGUAGUCCACACCGUAAAACGAUGAAUGCCAGUCGUCGGGUAGCAUG